rnacentral:rRNA from 1 species
AGAGUUUGAUCAUGGCUCAGAACGAACGCUGGCGGCAGGCUUAACACAUGCAAGUCGAACGCUCGUAGCAAUACGGGAGUGGCGCACGGGUGAGUAACGCGUGGGAACCUACCCUUUGGUUCGGGACAACCCAGGGAAACUUGGGCUAAUACCGGAUGAGCUGGCCGGGCAACUGGUCAGGAAAGAUUUAUCGCCGAAGGAGGGGCCCGCGUCGGAUUAGGUAGUUGGUGAGGUAACGGCUCACCAAGCCUGCGAUCCGUAGCCGGUCUGAGAGGAUGAUCGGCCACACUGGGACUGAGACACGGCCCAGACUCCUACGGGAGGCAGCAGUGGGGAAUAUUGGACAAUGGGGGCAACCCUGAUCCAGCCAUGCCGCGUGAGUGAUGAAGGCCUUAGGGUUGUAAAGCUCUUUCGCGCACGACGAUGAUGACGGUAGUGCGAGAAGAAGCCUCGGCUAACUCCGUGCCAGCAGCCGCGGUAAGACGGAGGAGGCUAGCGUUGUUCGGAAUUACUGGGCGUAAAGCGUGCGCAGGCGGCCCGAUUAGUUGGAGGUGAAAUCCCGGAGCUCAACUUCGGAACUGCCUCCAAUACUGUCGGGCUUGAGCGGAGGAGAGGAGAGCGGAAUUCCCAGUGUAGAGGUGAAAUUCGUAGAUAUUGGGAAGAACACCGGUGGCGAAGGCGGCUCUCUGGCCUCUUGCUGACGCUCAGGCACGAAAGCGUGGGGAGCAAACAGGAUUAGAUACUCUGGUAGUCCACGCCGUAAACGAUGGAUGCUGGAUGUCGGGGGGCUUGCCCCUCGGUGUCGAAGCUAACGCGAUAAGCAUCCCGCCUGGGGAGUACGGCCGCAAGGUUAAAACUCAAAGGAAUUGACGG